UUAGAGAUUAAAAAAAAAAGAAAAUUGAUCCUCAUCCAUCUCCUCUCUCUUUCUUCCUCUCUCUCUCCACGCUACUCUCUCCAUCUCUGUAAAGCUUUUCAACAGCUCUCAACUCCCUCCGAUCAGCCACCGCGACUCCUCCAACCGCUCCACCGUGAAGCCUGUAAUACACUCCAUCAAUCCAAGCUUUCAAUUCCCCCUUCUUCCCCUCAAUUUUGGAGCUUAGGUUGCAAACCCACCUCCACUUAUCUUUGGAAAAUAGUUGAAAUUAGAGGUGAACCGAGGGAAAGCACAAGCGAUAAGGGAAAAUGGCACCUCCAUGGUUGACUAAGCAAGUAAUAGAGUUUUUUUUUACGUGUACAGAGUAUAGAAGCGAGUGAACUCGCUAGUUGGCAACAGCACGUGUCAAGUCACCACCUCCCUUUUUACUGGUAAAGUUGGAGUUUACACGCGGCAUGCUUAGGCUCUUUUGUUUGUAAAUAGUUGGGCUACAAAUGUAAGGUUAUAACCUUCUUUUGCUAAUAGGGAUGUAAAUAAUUAUCGAAGUAAGUUAUCAAUAUUUUGUUAUGUAUAGUAGUAAAUAGUUAUGUUA